GGCUGGUUUUUCAUUCCCCCCUCAGUUGUGGGCCUAUUUGGGCAGGCUCUACAUCUUGGUAAACAGUAAUCCUCAGGGGACAGUCUUCAACUUCCCAGACUUACUUAAAAUUGGCCUCCUAGAUCCAACCUGACUCGAUUUACCUAUCUACACUGCCUAUCCAUUUUUGGCUUUGUUCCCCCCCUAAUUUUAGAAACUUUAUUGCUGUGUGGAGAAGGGGCGACGACUCGUUCUGGCUGCUUCAGAGCUGAAAAAGGGGUGUUGAACAUGAGGGGGCUUGAAGACGUGGGGGGCGACGUGGGGGAUGUGAGUUCCCUUUUAGAAGUCAGUUCCAUUUGAAGUCUGGUUGGGGAAAAACAGGCUGUCAUCUGGGGAUGGGUGCUUCUAUGAGAGAAACAAACCAUGAGUACUGAAUAAGUGUUGCAGCAGCUGGAACAUGUCACUGUACAGAAGUUCCCUCACCAGGCUUUAACAUUUCCAGUCACCAGGACUGUAAACAUGACAUUUAACUUUUAGGGUUACAGAUGUUCUUCCCCUUAAGACACAGUUUAAUAAUUUAAUGUCAUCUGAUCUUGCAAAAUCCUUUUACUAGUAUGACCUGUGUCUAAUAGAGAAAUCUUUAAUUCUGUUACUUAGGGCUGGAUAACCAUACUAGCAAACACUAAGCCUACCUGUGUAGGUUAGGAAUAU
rnacentral:lncRNA from 1 species